GACGAACGCUGGCGGCGUGCUUAACACAUGCAAGUCGAACGGUGAAGCGCUUGCCUUUUUGGUGGGUGUGGAUGAGUGGCGAGCGGGUGAGUAACACGUGAGUAACCUGCCCUCUUCUUCUGGAUAACCUCAUGAAAGUGGGGCUAAUACGGGGUAUUCCGGGUCUGUCGCAUGGCGGGUUUGGGAAAGAUUGCGCCUUUGGGUGUUUUCGGUGGGGGAUGGGCUCGCGGCCUAUCAGCUUGUUGGUGGGGUGAUGGCCUACCAAGGCGGUGACGGGUAGCCGGCCUGAGAGGGUGGACGGCCACACUGGGACUGAGACACGGCCCAGACUCCGGCGGGAGGCAGCAGUGGGGAAUAUUGCACAAUGGGCGCAAGCCUGAUGCAGCGACGCCGCGUGAGGGAUGGAGGCCGUCGGGUUGUGAACCUCUUUCGCCAGUGAAGCAGGCCUGCUCCUGUGUGGGUGGGUUGACGGUAGCUGGAUAAGAAGCGCCGGCUAACUACGUG
rnacentral:rRNA from 1 species